rnacentral:rRNA from 1 species
AUUGAACGCUGGCGGCAUGCCUUACACAUGCAAGUCGAACGGUAACAGGUCUUCGGAUGCUGACGAGUGGCGCACGGGUGAGUAAUACAUCGGAACGUGCCCGAUCGUGGGGGCUAACGAAGCGAAAGCUUUGCUAAUACCGCAUACGAUCUACGGAUGAAAGCGGGGGAUCUUCGGACCUCGCGCGGACGGAGCGGCCGAUGGCAGAUUAGGUAGUUGGUGGGAUAAAAGCUUACCAAGCCGACGAUCUGUAGCUGGUCUGAGAGGAUGAUCAGCCACACUGGGACUGAGACACGGCCCAGACUCCUACGGGAGGCAGCAGUGGGGAAUUUUGGACAAUGGGCGCAAGCCUGAUCCAGCCAUGCCGCGUGAAGGAUGAAGGCCUUCGGGUUGUAAACUGCUUUUGUACGGAACGAAAAGGUGCCUUCUAAUAAAGGGCGCUCAUGACGGUACCGGAAGAAUAAGCACCGGCUAACUACGUG